UGCGUAGGCGGCUUGGUAAGUCACGUGUGAAAGGCCGGGGCUCAACCCCGGAUCUGCAUGUGAGACUGCCUGGCUCGAGCACGGUAGAGGCGGGCGGAAUUCCUGGUGUAGCGGUGGAAUGCGUAGAUAUCAGGAAGAACACCGGUGGCGAAGGCGGCUCGCUGGGCCGUUGCUGACGCUGAGGCACGAAAGCGUGGGAGCAAACAGGAUUAGAUACCCUGGUAGUCCACGCCCUAAACGAUGGACACUAGGCGUCGGGGGGAGCGACCCUCCCGGUGCCGUCGCUAACGCAAUAAGUGUCCCGCCUGGGGAGUACGGCCGCAAGGCUGAA
rnacentral:rRNA from 1 species